UGGGGGACUGUUUGGGUAGUGAUUUUGUGGAAAAAUGGAAUGGCGACCCUGAUGAGGAGGAAUGGUAGUUGGAGGUUCAAAAGUUAGCUCACGUUCUUCUUCUUUUCAAGCCUACCAUUGGGAAUGUCGUUAGUCAUUCUUCUGUUUCAGCUGUCAGGUUGCUUGCGGAGCUCCAGGUGCCUAUGGCUCGCAUUAGGGAUUGCAGAAGGGUUUUAUUCUUCCCUCUUGUUUCGUGGGCUCUAUAGGCAAGUAGGUGACUGUGUGGGUAGAUCAGUAGCAGGAAAGUGGGGUUGUGGCUCUUUUCCAACCGAAGAUUUUAACGAGUGUUUUGUGUGGGUUGGAGGAUGAGUCCCGUUAUCCUAUUUUGGUGGGGGAGCUUCUUGUCUCCCCCCAUCUUUGGCAAGGUUGGCGACUGUUUUGGAGCCCUGUUUAUGACUGCAGGGAAGUUUUCUGAUGGCUGUGGUUCUGCAAUGCCUCUUAUUGUUGUUGAUGCGAACGUCUAUAAAGGAAUAAGGUGCGUGGAGCCUGGUGCAAGCAAGAUAUCAUGGGCAGAUUGGCUAGUUGUAGGUCCUAAUUGAGUCUUCUUUUGUCACGCUCCCUAGAACCAGUUGUGAUUGAUAAAUGGAUUCAAGAGUAUAUAGUUCUUGAUUCAGUUGGGAAAGAUCUUCCUUUGGGCUUCAAAAUGCCCUUAUUGAUGUUGAUACGGAGCUACCGACCUUUGUCACGUUAUCUUCUAAGUUUGCUGUUUGGGUGCAGAGGAUCGAGUAUGAGGUAGCCUUGAAUGUUUCCAUAUUUCUCUUAUGGCUGGCCACUCGCCUAUUGUUUGCGAAGGCGAGAGAAGGAAGCAUAAUGCAUGGAGAGGAAAAGAAAUAUGGGAAGCUCAACAUUCCUUAGAGCAAUGAAGAGAUGCCUUAGAAAAGGUAGAGAGUUGGGGGUAUGGCGAACCUUGCUUCUAGCUCUUUGUAGGCUUCGCAAUCUUCUUCCAACUCUACAAAUGGAGACUUCGGCUCUUUUGGUCCCUUUGCAAUAAGGACUUAGAAAGAAAGAAAGUAAAAGAACGAAUUUAACAUCCACGAGGUCAAGAAUAGCCUAUGGGACAGCCUGUUCAAUCUGAACUAGCUUCUGAGGAUCAGAUCUCUGCCUAUGCAAGUUGAUGAUGAGUGUACCCAGCUUUUCGAUAUGUUCCUUGUUGAAUAAAUUAGACCAUGUGCUAUCACUUAAGAUAUUGACAAACUUAUCCAUGCUGUCUUUAAGUGCUUCACACUCCAAGAUAAAAUGUUAAACUGGCAAACUGUUUUUUCCCAAAUCUCUUUUGAUCUUUCGAUCUUUUAGCUUUAUGAAAGAGAUCCAAUGAACUAAGUUUGGUUGUCAAAAAGAGAGAAAGAUUUUGCUUCAGCAAUUUGGUGGGUAGAAUUGUAGAAGUUUAAACAUCCUGACUAAUCUCUGUCUUGGUAGUCCAUGUUUCAGCGGUAUUGUUAAUGUUGCGCUGGUAGCUUUUUUGUCUUGCA